rnacentral:SRP_RNA from 1 species
GCCAGGCGCGGUGGCUCACGCCUGUAAUCCCAGCACUCUGGGAGGCUGAGGCAGGUGGAUCACCUGAGGUCAGGAGUUUGAGACCAGCCUGACCAACAUGGUGAAACCCUGUCUCUA